rnacentral:rRNA from 1 species
GUGGGGAAUUUUGGACAAUGGAUGGAAAUCUGAUCCAGCCAUGCCGCGUGCAGGAAGACGGCCCUAUGGGUUGUAAACUGCUUUUAUACGGGAGCAAUAAGGUCUAUGCAUAGAUUGAUGAGAGUACCGUAUGAAUAAGCAUCGGCUAACUCCGUGCCAGCAGCCGCGGUAAUACGGAGGAUGCGAGCGUUAUCCGGAUUUAUUGGGUUUAAAGGGUGCGUAGGCGGCUUUGUAAGUCAGCGGUGAAAUUUUGCAGCUUAACUGUAAAAGCGCCGUUGAUACUGUGAAGCUAGGAUUUGGUUGCUGUGGGCGGAAUGUGUGGUGUAGCGGUGAAAUGCAUAGAGAUCACACAGAAUAUCGAUUGCGAAGGCAACUCACAAAGCCAAUAUUGACGCUGAGGCACGAAAGUGUGGGGAUCAAACAGGAUUAGAUACCCCGGUAGUCC